AUUGAACGCUGGCGGCAUGCCUUACACAUGCAAGUCGAACGGUAACGCGGGGGCAACCCUGGCGACGAGUGGCGAACGGGUGAGUAAUACAUCGGAACAUAUCCAGUAGCGGGGGAUAACCUAUCGAAAGAUGGACUAAUACCGCAUACGAUCUACGGAUGAAAGCAGGGGACCGCAAGGCCUUGCACUAUUGGAGUGGCCGAUGUCGGAUUAGCUAGUUGGUGGGGUAAAAGCCUACCAAGGCGACGAUCCGUAGCUGGUCUGAGAGGACGAUCAGCCACACUGGAGCUGAGACACGGUCCAGACUCCUACGGGAGGCAGCAGUGGGGAAUUUUGGACAAUGGGCGCAAGCCUGAUCCAGCCAUGCCGCGUGAGUGAAGAAGGCCUUCGGGUUGUAAAGCUCUUUCGGUGAAGACGAAACGGUUAGCGCUAAUAACGCUGACUAAUGAUGGUACUCACAGAAGAAGCACCGGCUAACUACGUGCCAGCCGCCGCAGUAA
rnacentral:rRNA from 1 species